rnacentral:rRNA from 1 species
GAGUUUGAUCCUGGCUCAGGAUGAACGCUAGCGGCAGGCUUAAUACAUGCAAGUCGAGGGGCAGCAGCUUUAUAGCAAUAUAGAGGCUGGCGACCGGCAAACGGGUGCGGAACACGUACACAACCUUCCUUGAAUAGGGGGAUAGCCCAUAGAAAUGUGGAUUAAUACCCCGUAAUAUAGCGGUGUGGCAUCACACUGUUAUUAUAGUUUCGGCGAUUCGAGAUGGGUGUGCGGCUGAUUAGGUAGUUGGCGGGGUAAAGGCCCACCAAGCCUUCGAUCAGUAGCUGAUGUGAGAGCAUGAUCAGCCACACGGGCACUGAGACACGGGCCCGACUCCUACGGGAGGCAGCAGUAAGGAAUAUUGGUCAAUGGACGCAAGUCUGAACCAGCCAUGCCGCGUGAAGGAUGAAGGUCCUCUGGAUUGUAAACUUCUUUUAUAGGGGGCGAAAAAAGGUCUUUCUAGAUCACUGACAGUACCUA